CUAAUUGAUGGUAGCUUAAACUGAGCCCAGUUGAACCCUUUGCCACUGCAGAAGUAUGUGAAUACAAAUUUUAUUUCAUAAUUUACAGUCCAACACUUGCUCAACCAUAGCUAUCAUGAAUUCAUCUCCUCUAAAAUGAAUAGUGGUCCUAAAGACAAUUUUAAGUUUUUGACUUAGAUAUUGAUGAUCGAGCGGAUGGACCUUAAUGUCUAACUGAAGAAUUUAGUACGGUUAUGUCAUCUGUCAGCCAUAGAUUCUGUCUGAGACACCUCCACAACAAUGUUAAGAGGCAGAGACAGGACGAGAUGAUACCUUUAUCUCAUCUUACAUUGUGGACAUCAAACAUGGUCAUAUUUGAUGCUACUCUUAUUCUAUUUUGCUGUCAAUUGAUGUUACAAGAUGGCUUUACAGAUCAAGUAGUAGUCAUUUUGUUAUGUGCAGGCUGGAAUAGCUCCUAAUGAGUUGCAGCCAGUGGGUAGUGUUUUAAGUGAUGGUUGUUGAUGUGAAGUUGGUGUUUCAUUUUUGAUGGUAUCUUUGGUUAUAUAGAAGUGUAAAGUCAGUUCCGUUGCUGCAGAUUUUUAACAUUUUGCUUUGUAAACAAUUUUAAUGUAUUUUGCUGGUGUAUUUCAAUGUAUUUUGCUGCCUCGUGUUAAAGCUUAUAUGCAUCUACUAUACAGCAA